CGGCGGACGGGUGAGUAACACGUAGGUAACCUACCUAUAAGACUGGGAUAACUUCGGGAAACCGGAGCUAAUACCGGAUAAUAUUUCGAACCGCAUGGUUCGAUAGUGAAAGAUGGCUUUGCCAUCACUUAUAGAUGGACCUGCGCCGUAUUAGCUAGUUGGUAAGGUAACGGCUUACCAAGGCAACGAUACGUAGCCGACCUGAGAGGGUGAUCGGCCACACUGGAACUGAGACACUGUCCAG
rnacentral:rRNA from 1 species